rnacentral:rRNA from 1 species
UACGUAGGGACCGAGCGUUGUCCGGAUUCAUUGGGCGUAAAGAGCUCGUAGGCGGCUGUUCAAGUCGAACGUGAAAACUCGGAGCUCAACUCCGAGCCUGCGUUCGAUACUGGACGGCUAGAGUCUGGUAGGGGGAUCUGGAAUUCCUGGUGUAGCGGUGGAAUGCGCAGAUAUCAGGAGGAACACCGGUGGCGAAGGCGGCUACCUGGACAGAAACUGACGCUGAGGCGCGAAAGCUAGGGGAGCAAACAGG